rnacentral:rRNA from 1 species
CAUCACUGGUGUUCGGGUUGUCAUGCCAAUGGCACUGCCCGGUAGCUAAAUGCGGAAGAGAUAAGUGCUGAAAGCAUCUAAGCACGAAACUUGCCCCGAGAUGAGUUCUCCCUGAGACUUAGAGUCUCCUGAAGGAACGUUGAAGACGACGACGUUGAUAGGCCGGGUGUGUAAGCGCAGCGAUGCGUUGAGCUAACCGGUACUAAUGAACCGUGAGGCUUAACCUU